AAAAAGAAAAGAAGCAGCCUUGCUGUUCCAAUACUUUCGGAGGGGGCUGUAGUUAUGGGAGUGAGGAAUUUAAGAGGAAUGUAACACCAACAAAUCCUGAGAGUUUAAAGUGAUAACCACUGCAGUGGAUAUAAGCAAAAGGAAAAGGUUUCUAAGCGAUACUUUGGAUGCCUAACACUUUGAAGGUUCUGAUUGGAAACCUUUGAAAGGAGAAACCCCAGUGCUGGAUUCUGCCCAGAACCUUUAAAGAUUCAUCUGAAGGGACGAACCACCUCUGAGCUCUGAGGAAGCUGAUAAUCAGUGUGUGAUAUGCAUCUUUACUGUACUAAACACCCUGAGAAACUCAGAAAGACAGUUCCAGUGGAGUGGGUGUAGCCUAAAUCGCUUAUUUAAAGCACAGCCCAGUGAAUUUAUGCUGAUAGAAAUGGGGUGGAGAGAGAGAGCUGUCAGCUGCGAACAUCUUAAUCAAACCUCCGACUACAUUCCUCGGUUCUGAAGGCACAAACCUUAAACAGAUUCGGUUCAUUUACAGGCGACCCUCUGCCUCUAACCUGAGGUCAGCACUGGUGUAAUGUAAACAAUGCGAGACGAGGUAGUUCAGGCACGGCCCCGAAAUGCAGCUGGAAUCUGGAAGCGUGAACAAGCAAGCAGCCGACAUUGCAGACUGACACAUCGGGGUGCGCGCGAGAGCAGCGCGAGAGCAGCGCGAGCUCCACACGGCUGAUAAAGCGGGACCGAGAGGGCGGCAGAUGGCCAGCGCGAGGGGAUGAGAUCACUCACAGAAGUAGACUUUUUCUGUAAUCCGGUGGGCCGUGUAACGGCAAGCGCGCGUGUACUUUAGUAUUAAACCGCCUCUUUGUCCUCUUUGUGUGGUUUUAGCGAAGCAGAAGUGAAGCGAGGAGAGAGAGCUCGGAACUGUUAGCGCACAACCGGGGACGAGGCUGGGACUCCGGACACGCAGGGAAGAAAUUCAGUUUGGAGACAUGGCCUUUUCCUCCUCAAUGAAUGACCUUCUCCUCACCCAGCCAUUCAGAAAAAAAGUGACAGUAAAAGACAGCUCCCGGGAUAGGACAGAUCAAAAUGAAGACCCGCCCCUCCACCCUUACUGCUCCCGCCUCUCUUUUAAAAGGUCCACCUGGCAGCAUGUGACCCAAUUACAGCACGGGAGAUAAAAAGGGCACAGUGUACAGUGAAAAUUCUGAACCAGCCACACAGAGACUGAAAAAGUGUUAUGGGAAAUAAUGAAUAGGAGAAAGUAUUUCAAGAAAGACUGACAGAUUUCUUGAGACAGUUCCACAUAAUUGUCACCUGUUCUCAAGGUGAUGGGUAAAUUCCUGCGCUCUUUAAGAAACUGAGACUGUGGAAGUGAGGUCGCUGGAAUCACAGGGAGAAGAGAAAUCAGACAGAGUAAGUAGAGAAUUUAACUGGGGAAAUGACUGAGGAGGGGUUAUGGACAUGUAUUGCAUGCCAUGUCACGAUUGCGAAAUUGCUUGCCAGGUUAUGACAGCCAAGUGAGGAAUAGGUUUGUGGGUAGUGUGUGUGUGUGUGUGUGUUGGUGGGGGAACAGCUUCUGUAAAAGGAGAAAUUGAAGAGAGGAAGACAGAGGCAGGACGGCUUCCUCUACACAUCCUCAUCACUGAUGCCAUUUCAUCUCUACUUUCCUUCAUGCAUAAAAGGCAGGUUUUUAUUCUUACAUGUUUUCAAGCUGAUGGCCUUUUUCAAGAUGUGCCUUGGUCUCAACUUGGACUUUAUUCAAAUUCCAUUUCAUCUCUUGGGGGUAACCUUAUAAUUACAUUACAAAUUCUGCCUCUGCCAUAUUAUGUUCGUUAGUUCAAAGGUACUGAGGUGUAUAAAGAGGUACAACAAACUGAAGUAGAAUCUUUACUGAGGCACUUCUAUAACAAGGUAGUGCUGGAUAAUUAAUUAUAAUAUCAUUUGUGUGUAUUUGCCAGUCAGUGAGUGCUUCCAUUCUACCAAAUGAGAUCAAAUUUUUAACAGUUGAAAUUGUAGCAACCGACACUUUUGCUCAUAUUAAAGGAUUUCAUUUAAAUGGAACAUUUGUUUCAGCUAAUGUGAUGUUCAUUAUUAGUACAAAUAAUGAAUUUCAUUAUGUGAUUUAUGCAUAUCUGUGUCUCAGAAGAUCUGAUACCACUGCAUGCUGUCCUUGUUCCUCAUGAAAUGGUGAGUAUCUGCCAACCCACAGCACCAGCAGCUGUGUGAGUCAGUGUGUGAGAGAGAUAAAGAAGGACAGAGGGAGGGAGUAAAUGAAGCCAUGUGGGUGAAGGGUAAAGUUUGAUUUUAUGAAUGAACUAUACUGGUUAGUCAUGUAGGUCAGCCUGUGUGUAGUGAAAUGUUGCACCUUGCUAUUGGUGUGGAUAUGAUUUAUUUCUUAUAUGAUCUUAUAGAUUGUCAAUAACUCAUUCAUUCUAGAUUUGUGUUUAUACUUUGAACAGAACUAUUAUUUUUUAAUAGGCAAAAUGGUCUAGAUUAGGUCAAGCACUGAAGGAAACACAAGCUAAAUCAGUCUACAAGGCCACCUGUCACAUGUGUGUGUGUGUGUGUGUUUGUGGUGGAAGAUCUCUAAGUGCAGACUUUACUCUCAUUCACCUCUGAAGCACAUCCAAUUUGCUCUUCUUUACUGUCCUCUCAAAUUUCUAUAGCUUGGAGUUCAGAGGCAUGUCACUUGGAGGUGGGGCAGAUAGUAAAGCCAGAGCCUGGGGAGAGGAAACAGGGCAGUGGGGAGAGAGAAAGAGGCAAAUGUAUGAGUAACAGAAAAGUAAAGACAAGAGAGGGAUUGAUAUGGACUGUGUGGUCGAGAUAAGAAUUCCCAUGUAUAAGGUAUAUCCAUGCCUGUCUGUGUGUCCUCUCAGUUUCCACUGUCUGUGACGUUCCCAAUGCAUGUCAGCUGUGGAGCAAAGAAAAACCCAUAUAGCCAUUUGUCUCCUGCAGUUCCAGUAUCAGUAUAAAUAUAAUAUUAUAGGAUCCAGUAUAAUAUAAUAUGGUUUUGAUACAAUGAGUACACAAGCAUUUUGAGCAAAAAAAAAAAACAUUUUUGAGAAUAAAGUCAUUAUUUUGAGAAAAAAGUCAUAAAACAUAAAACAACGAAAAUAAUGUUACUUUACAAAUAAAGAAAUACUUAAUCUUCUGGCACAUCUACACGAGAUAAUUAUUAGUACUGGAACUUUGAAACAACCGUGGAAGAAUUUGCACUUGUUUAGAAGAACGAACCACAUAAACGUGAAGUAAAUUGUCUUUGUUGAAAGAGAAAUUGAAGACAGUGGUCACCUAGAAGGCUAUCCAUGGUUACAUCUGUGGCAUAACAGAUAACUCCAGCAUGCUCAGUACAGCAAUCAAGUCCCCGAAGCGUUAUGGCAUAUUGACUUGCCAUUAGGCUUCAGUGUAUCGUAGUCCAUAUGCCAUUACUCAUUAAGGACUUGGAGCAUGCCAGAGUUCCACUCCUUCCAUAUCGAUCAUUUUGAAUUUCAUUAAUCUACAGAUGGGGUCAUAAGUUUACAUACGCCUUGUGGAAUCUGCAAAAUGUUAACAUAUAUAUAAAUUUUUUUUAAAUGACGGAUCAUAAAAAUUGCGUUUUUUUUUUAUUUGGUCCUGCUCUGAAAUAAGCUAUUUAACAUAACAGAUGUUUACACAUAGUCCACAAGACAAAAAUAACGGAAUUUACACAUAUGAACCAGUUCACAAGUUUAUAUACGCUUGAUUCUUAAUACUGUGUGUGUUACCUGGAUGAUCAACGACUGUUUUUAUGUUUUGUGAUAGUUGUUCAUGAGUCCCUUGUUUGUCCUGCCCACUGUUUUUAAGAAAAAUCCUCCAGGGACUGCAAAUUAUUUGCUUUUCCAGCAUCUUCUGCAUAUUCGACCCCUUUCCAACAGCGGCUGUAUGAUUUUGAGAUCCAGCUUUUCACACUGAGGACAAUUGAGAAACUCAUACACAGCUAUUACAAAAGGUGCAAACAUUCACUGAUGCUCAAGAAGGCAACACACUACAUUAAGAGCCAGGGGGAUGUAAACUUUUGAACAGGGUGAUCGGUGUAAAUUGUUAUUUUAUUUAAAUAUCUUUGCCAUUCUGAAGCUGCGUAAGAUAAGUGUAAAUACGUUUCCCAGAAGAUAUAAUAAUAACAAUUAGACGUAUGUAAACUUACGCCCCCAGAUGUACACACCUUCUUUGAAUGGCACGCAGGUGUAACCACUGAUGGCCUUGAAGGCAACCUUCAACAAAAGAAGCAAUAAUUUCACCAAAUCCUCAGUGGUCUACAUUUUAAACAUAUGAAUGUGAUAUGUACCAUUUUGUCAUAUUAUUUUAUUCUCUAAUUAUCACAACUUUUUUUUUUUUUUUUUAAAUCAUGAAAUAUCAUGACUUUAUUCUCGAAAUCUUGUAUUUUACAUUUACACAGUGGCCCUAAAACACCGUCAUAAAUGAGAGAGGUCUGUUUGAAAAACACACUUGAAAAUCUUGGCUGAAGAGUUACACAUGAUUGUUUUUCCUACAUACACCAGAUCCCUUCAUCACGCUGACUUCCUCAGCCUUGGGCCUUUUUUUGCUGAUUCAUGGAAAAACUCGAUGUGUCAUGUGUCGUCACACAGCCAGUGACAUCACGGAAACAGGCGAUGCAGUAAAGCAGCAGUGGAAAACGGGAACACAGCAACCUUCAGUGCAGGAGACGGAAAAAGGGAGUGAGAAAGGCAGAGAGAGAUAGGGAGAAAGAGAACAAGUGGGAGAAAUGGUAGAGCAUAAAUGAAAUCUCAGUAGAUGGUAUGCCCUUAAUUACAAAGUUGAUAACAUUGUCCUGUUGUAUACCCUUACAGAUCCUAUUUUUCUACUGCUCCCUAUAAGCCAGUUGUAGAAAAUGAUCAAUAAAAUGUGUUAUGAUGCGAGUCUGUCCAAGUCGAAGAACCAUUUUUCAAACCCGAGUGAGAUGAGUCAGCUCCGCUAAUCUGAACAGGGUUAAAAAUGUAUGUAAACUCCUGUUUAAUUUUCCACUGGCUGGACCUAAGGCCAGCAUAUAUCUGCUGGAUCUCCUUUUUCCAUGUCACAUCAGCCUGCCGCACUGAAGAUACAGCUGCACACUAACGCUAUACAGAGGAUAAGCCAUUCUGUCUUUUCUGCAAGAACACGCAACUAAUCAGCAUGCAACCUUACAUGAUCAUUCAUCAUCAUGUUAUUGCAGCAGAAUAUUACAUAUACUGCUGUUACUGAGAGCCAACCUACAAGAAAGAUCUGCUGCAUGGAAUACUGUGAAUUCUAAAAAAAAAAAACAGAAAUCACCAUAAAAUUUCUGAAUAAAGUGCUGAAUAAUGAAAGUCUCCAAUUACUCCAUAAGCUAAAUAGCUGACCAUAUGCCAGUUUAACUUUUUCACCGUUGUAACUACACUGUUGUCACUGUAAUACUGUAAUGAUUACGGUUAGACGGUUGCUCAGGAGCCCCUCAGUUGCUCAGUAGUCAGUGUAGGUCCUGUCUGCCUGUCAGCAGCUACAUCUGGCUACUGGGUCUCUAAUGGGCUUCAUUCAUUCAAUCUUCUGACAAAUGUACAGCAUCUCCAAGACCCAAACACAAGUUUCAUAAUCCACUGAAAGGUAGCAGCUUCUAUCUGUCACUUUGAACGAUUUGAGUGAUAAAGGAAGAGUGAGAAAGGAAGCAUUAUGUAAGAAAACUGGCUUUUAAAUUCAAUGAUGUGUAGCAUGUGGUUUAUGGGAUACUUGCACGGCACUAAUAAAACACAAAGAUCGAUGUUGCAAAUGAGUCUGUGAGAGUUAAAGCAAUAAAAAAAAGAAAUAAUUCAUUCAGAGAUGGUUUUGUACCUGGCAUGCAGUGUAGAUAUCUGUGUUGGUGAGCCUACAGCUACAUUGUCUGCUGGGUUUCAGAUCCAUCUUGUAAGCAUCUUGUGAAAUCAUGUUUGGUGCAUGAGUACAGCUCAGAAAUGUACAUUUCUUCUUGAACAUAUGUUGAAGUAUUUGAAUAAACUAAUUCCUUUAA